rfam:Picea glauca, whole genome shotgun sequence.
CUCAUGGAGAGUUUGAUCCUGGCUCAAGAUGAACGCUGGAGACAUGCUUAACACAUGCAAGUCGGACAGGAAGUCGUGUUUCCAGUGGCAGACGCGUGAGUAAUGCAUAAGAACCUGCCCUUGGGAGGGGAACAAUAGCUGGAAACGGCUGCUAAUACCCCAUAGGAUGAGGAGAAAAAGGAGGAAUCCACCCAAGGAGGGGCUCACGUUUGACUAGUUAGUUGGUGAGGCAAUGGCUUACCAAGGUGAUGAUCAGUAGCUGGUCCGAGAGGAUGAUCAGCCACACUGGGACUGAGACACGGCCCCGACUCCUACGGGAGGCAACAGUGGGGAAUUUUCUGCAAUGGGCGAAAGCUUGAUGGAGCAAUGUCGUGUGAAGGAAGAAGGCCCACUGGUCAUGAAAUUCUUUUCUCGGAGAAGAAACAAUGAUGGUAUCUGAGGAAUAAGCAUCAGCUAACUCUGUGCCAGCAGCCGCGGUAAGACAGAGGAUGCAAGCAUUAUCUGGAAUGAUUGGGUGUAAAGCGUCUGUAGGUGGUUUUUCAAGUCUGUCAUCAAAUCCCAGGGCUCAACCCUGGACAGGCGGUGGAAAAUACCAAGAUGGAUUAUGGUAGGGGAAGAGGGAAUUUCCAGUGGAGUGGUGAAAUGCAUUGAGAUCGGAAAGAACACCAAUGAUGAAAGCACUCUGCUGGGUUGACAAUGACACUGAGAGACGAAAGCUAGGAGAGAAAAUAGGAUUAGAUACCCCAAUAGUCAUAGCUGUAAACGAUGGAUACUAAGUGUUGUGCGUAUCGACUUGUGCAGUGUUGUAGCUAACACAUUAAGUAUACUGCCUGGGGAGUACGUUCGCAAGAAUGAAACUCAAAGGAGCGGUGAAAUUCAUUGAGAUCGAAAAGAACACCAACGGCGAAAGCACUCUGCUGGGCCGACACUGACACUAAGAGACGAAAGCUAGGGGAGAAAAUGGGAUUAGAUACCCCAGUAGUCCUAGCCAUAAAUGAUGGAUACUAAGUGUUGUACGUAUCGACCCAUGCAAUGUUGUAGCUAACGCAUUAAGUAUCCUACCUGGGGAGUACAUUCACAAGAAUGAAACUCAAAGGAGUUGACGGGGGCCCGCACAAGCGGUGGAGCAUGUGGUUCAAUUCGAUGCAAAGCGAAGAACCUUACCAGGUCUUGACAUGCCGUGAAUCCUCCCGAAAGAGAGGAGUGCCUUCAGGAACACAGACACAGGUGGUGCAUGGUUGUCGUCAGCUUGUGCCUUAAGGUGUUGGGUUAAGUCCCGCAAUGAGCGCAACCCUUGUGUUUAGUUGCUAGCAUUGAGUUUGGAACCCUGAACAGACUGUCGGUGAUAAGCCAGAAGAAGGUGAGGAUGACGUCAAGUCAUCAUGCCCCUUACACCCUGGGUGAAACAUAUGCUAAAUGACUGGGACAAAGGGUCGCGACCCUGCGAGGGCAAGCUAACCUCAAAAACCCGACCUCAGUUCGGAUUGCAGGCUGCAACUCGCCUGCAUGAAGCCGGAAUCGCUAGUAAUCGUCGGUCAGCCAUACGACAGUGAAUCUGUUCCCGGGCCUUGUACACACCGCCCAUCACACUAUGGGAUCUGGCCAUGCCCCAAGUCAUUAACUUAACCGCAAGGAGGGGGAUGCCGAAGGCUGGGCUAAUGACUGGAGUGAAUUCGUAACAAGGUAUCCGUACUAGAAGGUGCAGCUGGAUCACCUCCUUU